rnacentral:rRNA from 1 species
AUUGAACGCUGGCGGCAUGCCUUACACAUGUAAGUCGAACGGCAGCACGGGUGCUUGCACCUGGUGGCGAGUGGCGAACGGGUGAGUAAUACAUCGGAACAUGUCCUGUAGUGGGGGAUAGCCCGGCGAAAGCCGGAUUAAUACCGCAUACGAUCUACGGAUGAAAGCGGGGGACCUUCGGGCCUCGCGCUAUAGGGUUGGCCGAUGGCUGAUUAGCUAGUUGGUGGGGUAAAGGCCUACCAAGGCGACGAUCAGUAGCUGGUCUGAGAGGACGACCAGCCACACUGGGACUGAGACACGGCCCAGACUCCUACGGGAGGCAGCAGUGGGGAAUUUUGGACAAUGGGCGAAAGCCUGAUCCAGCAAUGCCGCGUGUGUGAAGGAGGCCUUCGGGUUGUAAAGCACUUUUGUCCGGAAAGAAAUCCUUGGCCCUAAUACGGUCGGGGGAUGACGGUACCGGAAGAAUAAGCACCGGCUAACUACGUG